UUGGAGGGCAAGUCUGGUGCCAGCAGCCGCGGUAAUUCCAGCUCCAAUAGCGUAUAUUAAAGUUGUUGCAGUUAAAAAGCUCGUAGUUGAAUUUCGGGGUUAGUAGGUUGGUCAUGCCUCUGGUAUGUACUGGUCUCACUGAUUCCUCCUUCCUGAUGAACCGUAAUGCCAUUAAUUUGGUGUUGCGGGGAAUUUGGACUGUUACUUUGAAAAAAUUAGAGUGUUUAAAGCAAGCUAACGCUUGAAUACAUUAGCAUGGAAUAAUGGAAUAGGACGUUCGAUCCUAUUUUGUUGGUUUCUAGGAUUGACGUAAUGAUUAAUAGGGAUAGUUGGGGGCAUUAGUAUUCAAUUGUCAGAGGUGAAAUUCUUGGAUUUAUUGAAGACUAACUACUGCGAAAGCAUUUGCCAAGGAUGUUUUCAUUAAUCAAGAACGAAAGUUAGGGGAUCGAAGACGAUCAGAUACCGUCGUAGUCUUAACCAUAAACUAUGCCGACUAGGGAUCGGAUGAUGUUAAUUUUAUAAUGACUCAUUCGGCGCCUUACGGGAAAC
rnacentral:rRNA from 1 species